UUCAAUCGUCUCUUUUAGAGAGCAAACAACCCAAACCCCAAUAGCCGCCACCAUACUCCACUGCCUGAAACCUGGCGGCCAGUGCUCCGUUCACCGCCAAAUUAACACCCCUUAACCUCAUCACACCUCCAAUCCAAAUCCACCCUCCAUCACCUUCAAAUCAUCCUCGAGUUCUUCAAAUUUUAGAUCGAAGAACUGACCUCGAACCCUAAACCUACCAAAUCAGUCCCAAAUCAACACCUCUUGACCCCUGGACCUCCCUCAUCCAUAAACUACUCCUAGUUUCCCUCGAAUCAAAUCGGAGUUUGUCGUAUCUUAAAUCGAAUAGAAGAGCACUGAGUUUUCAAAUCAAGAGCAUCUAUUGAAGAUUUGGGACCGAAAUAGGUUUUAUUCGUGCAUUCUCAUUUGAG
rnacentral:lncRNA from 1 species